GCAUUAAUGGGGUAGUGGUAACCUGGGUCGUUGCCAAUAGGUAACUUCGACCCGCCGGGGGUUCGAUUCCCCCUUAAUGCA